UCAGAUUAUAAUUAUUUACUAAUUGUUUUUUUAAAUUUUAAUUUACAUUUAAUUUGAUUAAUUUAAAAAGUUAAUUAUUCAAAAAAUUAUCUUUAAAAUCACUAUCGAAAAAUUCCGAUAUUUGCUAAUAUUUUUUCACUCCCGAGGUUUUAUUUAUAAAAAAUAAUACGAACUUUAUCAUAAAAUAAACAAUUUGUUCAACGCAUUGCAAGUGCUGCAUUUUCAAAAUGCUCUUGAACAUCAAUCCGCAAAAAGGACAAAUUAAGACGGACAAUGUAAAACAAGCACCACA